AUACGGAGGGUGCAAGCGUUAAUCGGAAUUACUGGGCGUAAAGCGUACGUAGGCGGUCCGUUAAGUUAGAUGUGAAAGCCCCGGGCUUAACCUGGGAACUGCAUUUAAAACUGGCGAACUAGAGUUGAGUAGAGGGGAGCGGAAUUUCAGGUGUAGCGGUGAAAUGCGUAGAGAUCUGAAGGAACACCAGUGGCGAAGGCGACUCCCUGGACUCGAACUGACGCUGAGGUACGAAAGCGUGGGUAGCAAACGGGAUUAGAUACCCUAGUAGUCC
rnacentral:rRNA from 1 species